rnacentral:rRNA from 1 species
AUUGAACGCUGGCGGCAGGCCUAACACAUGCAAGUCGAGCGGAGCUGCGGACGGGCGAGUAAUGCCUAGGAAUCUGCCUGGUAGUUGGGGAUAACGUCCGGUAACGGGCGCUAAUACCGCAUACUAUCAGAUGAGCCUAGGUCGGAGUAGCUAGUUGGUGGGGUAAAGGCCUACAAAGGCGACGACCCGUAACUGGUCUGAGAGGAUGAUCAGUCACACUGGACCUGAGACACGGUCCAGACUCCUACGGGAGGCAGCAGUGGGGAAGAUUGGACAAUGGGCGAAAGCCUGAUCCAGCCAUGCCGCGUGUGUGAAGAAGGUCUUCGGAUUGUAAAGCACUUUAAGUUGGGAGGCGUUACCAACAGAAUAAGCACCGGCUAACUUCGUGCCAGCCGCCGCGGUAAUAC